rnacentral:rRNA from 1 species
AUUGAACGCUGGCGGCAGGCCUAACACAUGCAAGUCGAGCGAGCGGCGGACGGGUGAGUAAUGUAUGGGGACUUCCCGAUAGAGGGGGAUAACUACUGGAAACGGUAGCUAAUACCGCAUACUAUCGGAUAACCCAUAUGGGAUUAGCUAGUAGGUGAGGUAAUGGCUCACCUAGGCGACGAUCCCUAGCUGGUCUGAGAGGAUGAUCAGCAACACUGGGACUGGGAAAGGGCCCAGACUCCUACGGAGGCAGCAGUGGGGAAUAUUGCACAAUGGGCGCAAGCCUGAUGCAGCCAUGACGGGUGUAGGAAGAAGGCCCUAGGGUUUUAAAGUAUUUUCAGUCGGGAGGCGUUACCGACAGAAGAAGCACCGGCUAACUCCGUGCCAGCAGCCGCGGUAAUAC